rnacentral:rRNA from 1 species
AUGAACGCUGGCGGCGUGCCUAAUACAUGCAAGUCGAGCGAACGGACGAGAAGCUUGCUUCUCUGAUGUUAGCGGCGGACGGGUGAGUAACACGUGGAUAACCUACCUAUAAGACUGGGAUAACUUCGGGAAACCGGAGCUAAUACCGGAUGAUAUCUUGAACCGCAUGGUUCAAAAGUGAAAGACGGUCUUGCUGUCACUUAUAGAUGGAUCCGCGCUGCAUUAGCUAGUUGGUAAGGUAACGGCUUACCAAGGCAACGAUGCAUAGCCGACCUGAGAGGGUGAUCGGCCACACGGGAACUGACACCCGGUCCAGACUCCCACGGGGGGCAGCAGUAGGGAAUUUGCCGCAAUGGGGGAAAGCCUGACGGAGCAACGCCGCGGGAGUGAUGAAGGUUUUCGGAUUGUAAAACUCUUUUAUUAGGGAAGAACAUAUGUGUAGGUAACUGUGCACAUUUUGAGGGUACCUAAUCAAAAAGCCACGGCUAACUGCGU